AAGGAGCGAGCUACCUGCAGUCGAGCGGUACAGGGGUAGCUUGCUACCCGCUGACGAGCGGCGGACGGGUGAGUAAUGCAUAGGAAUCUGCCCGAUAGUGGGGGAUAACCUGGGGAAACCCAGGCUAAUACCGCAUACGUCCUACGGGAGAAAGGGGGCUUCGGCUCUCGCUAUUGGAUGAGCCUAUGUCGGAUUAGCUAGUUGGUGAGGUAAUGGCUCACCAAGGCAACGAUCCGUAGCUGGUCUGAGAGGAUGAUCAGCCACAUCGGGACUGAGACACGGCCCGAACUCCUACGGGAGGCAGCAGUGGGGAAUAUUGGACAAUGGGCGAAAGCCUGAUCCAGCCAUGCCGCGUGUGUGAAGAAGGCCCUCGGGUUGUAAAGCACUUUCAGCGAGGAAGAACGCCUAGUGGUUAAUACCCACUAGGAAAGACAUCACUCGCAGAAGAAGCACCGGCUAACUCCGUGCCAGCAGCCGCGGUAAUACGGAGGGUGCAAGCGUUAAUCGGAAUUACUGGGCGUAAAGCGCGCGUAGGUGGCUUGAUAAGCCGGUUGUGAAAGCCCCGGGCUCAACCUGGGAACGGCAUCCGGAACUGUCAAGCUAGAGUGCAGGAGAGGAAGGUAGAAUUCCCGGUGUAGCGGUGAAAUGCGUAGAGAUCGGGAGGAAUACCAGUGGCGAAGGCGGCCUUCUGGACUGACACUGACACUGAGGUGCGAAAGCGUGGGUAGCAAACAGGAUUAGAUACCCUGGUAGUCCACGCCGUANACGAUGUCGACCAGCCGUUGGGUGCCUAGCGCACUUUGUGGCGAAGUUAACGCGAUAAGUCGACCGCCUGGGGAGUACGGCCG
rnacentral:rRNA from 1 species